AGUUACAUUCCAGCCUCACUUUCCCACUCCUUGUUGGUUGCAGUUUGGAUUCAAGAUUAAUUAAAAUCUUUUUCUUUUGAUACUCCUCGGAGAAAUAAACAUGAGGUUUUGCUUUUUUGUGUAAUACACAGUGGUGGGCUGUUGGCGGGUCACACGAUUUGGACGAUGCCGCAAGGAAAUGGUUGACCAAGAGUCAAGAUGCCGACCAUGAAUCCAAACUGCGACCAACAAGGAGUGUGAAGGUGACGCUGGAACGUAACUUAGUCCGUAGCAAGAAAAUGGUUGACCAAGAGUCAAGAUGGUGACCAUGAAUCCAAACUCUGACCAACAAGGAGUGGGAAGGCGAGGCUGGAACGUAACUUUGUCCGUAGCAAGGAAAUGGUUGACCAAGAGUCAAGAUGCCGACCAUGAAUCCAAACUGCAACCAACAAGGAGUGGGAAGGCGAGGCUGGAACAUAACUUAGUCUGUAGCAAGGAAAUGGUUGACCAAGAGUCAAGAUGCCGACCAUGAAUCCAAACUGCAACCAACAAGGAGUGGGAAGGCGAGGCUGGAACAUAACUUAGUCUGUAGGUAAUGUUAAGAGUUUUGCUUCUUGGUAUCUUGUGUCUAUCAGAGUAACCUGGGAAUCGUGUAGACCUGGGUCUGUUUUUGGAGCAGUAAAAUCAUGGUCCUCUUCUUGGCUCAAGAGGCUCCUAUAAAAUGUUCUCAACCAGU